GAGGAUACAGCUUAGGGGUAGAGUGCAUGCCUGGCAUGCAUGAGGUCCUGGGUUCAAUUCCCAGUAAUUCCA
rnacentral:tRNA from 1 species